rnacentral:rRNA from 1 species
UACAGAGGGUGCAAGCGUUAAUCGGAAUUACUGGGCGUAAAGCGUGCGUAGUCGGUUAUUUAAGUCGGGUGUGAAAGCCCCGGGCUCAACCUGGGAAUUGCAUUCGAUACUGGAUAGCUAGAGUUCAGCAGAGGGAAGCGGAAUUUCCGGUGUAGCGGUGAAAUGCGUAGAUAUCGGAAGGAACAUCAGUGGCGAAAGCGGCUUCCUGGACCAGAACUGACGAUCAGGCACGAAAGCGUGGGGAGCAAACAGG